GACGAACGCUGGCGGCGUGCUUAACACAUGCAAGUCGAACGGAAAGGCCUCUUUCGGGGGGUACUCGAGUGGCGAACGGGUGAGUAACACGUGAGUAACCUGCCCUUGACUUUGGGAUAACUUCAGGAAACUGGGGCUAAUACCGGAUAGGAGCUCCUGCUGCAUGGUGUGGGUUGGAAAGUUUCGGCGGUUGGGGAUGGACUCGCGGCUUAUCAGCUUGUUGGUGGGGUAGUGGCUUACCAAGGCUUUGACGGGUAGCCGGCCUGAGAGGGUGACCGGCCACAUUGGGACUGGGAUACGGGCCAGACUCCUACGGGAGGCAGCAGUGGGGAAGAUUGCACAAUGGGUGGAAGCCUGAUGCAGCAACGCCGGGUGCGGGAGGACGGCCUUCGGGUUGUAAACCGCUUUCGCUCAUGACGAAGCUUUGUGUGACGGUAGUGGGUAAAGAAGCACCGGCUAACUACGUG
rnacentral:rRNA from 1 species